rnacentral:lncRNA from 1 species
CUAGUGAAAGCCCAAUGGGGUGAAUCCUUUGGAUUAACACUGCUUUUGAGUGGAGGAUGUUGAGAAGAGAAUAAUGAGGAAGAGCAUAAUAUGAUGAGUUUGCACUGUUGAGUUGUUUUCAGUGUAGGCUGGAGAUUAAAAGAGUGGAUGUCAGGGCAUGCAGUAGUGUUUGUUGGAGCAGGGAAUGGUGAAGAGUUUUGUGUUGUGUUGUGUGAGAAUGUCUUUUCUACCUUUCUUUCCUUUCCUCUUCAGCAUGUGCAUGUCACAUUCUUGUCUUCACCCUUGACAAUGAGUGAGGUUGGGGCCCUCACAUUAUGGAACCAGGACUAGGGUCCCACACUGGACCUCAUCAUAGCCGUCAGUUUUGUCUGAUGUGUAUGCAAGGUAAGUAUCAAGAAAGAGAGAGGCUCUGUUGCACACCCACCUCUGGGACCCCUUUACUUCAUUUAUUUUCUAAAGCCUUUCUACUUUCUACCAUUCUUUGUCCCCACCAACUACUUCCCAGUGAACUGUCUCAUCUCAAAUUUCC